CAUGCAAGUCGAACGGUGAAGAGGAGCUUGCUCCUUGGAUCAGUGGCGAACGGGUGAGUAACACGUGAGCAAUCUGCCCUUGACUCUGGGAUAACUGCGGGAAACUGUAGCUAAUACCGGAUAUUACCUUGGAAGGCAUCUUCUGGGGUGGAAAGAAUUUUGGUCAAGGAUGAGCUCGCGGCCUAUCAGCUAGUUGGUGAGGUAAUGGCUCACCAAGGCGACGACGGGUAGCCGGCCUGAGAGGGUGACCGGCCACACUGGGACUGAGACACGGCCCAGACUCCUACGGGAGGCAGCAGUGGGGAAUAUUGCACAAUGGGCGCAAGCCUGAUGCAGCAACGCCGCGUGAGGGACGACGGCCUUCGGGUUGUAAACCUCUUUUAGUAGGGAAGAAGCGACUGGGUUUUCCUGGGAGUGACGGUACCUGCAGAAAAAGCACCGGCUAACUACGUGCCAGCAGCCGCGGUAAUACGUAGGGUGCAAGCGUUGUCCGGAAUUAUUGGGCGUAAAGAGCUCGUAGGCGGUUUGUCGCGUCUGCUGUGAAAACCCGAGGCUCAACCUCGGGCCUGCAGUGGGUACGGGCAGACUAGAGUGCGGUAGGGGAGAUUGGAAUUCCUGGUGUAGCGGUGGAAUGCGCAGAUAUCAGGAGGAACACCAAUGGCGAAGGCAGA
rnacentral:rRNA from 1 species